CAAAAAUUCUUAGUACAACAGUAAAACAUAAGAACACGCAAUACCUUCAAGACAAGUGGAAGAGAUAUUGACAUUUAUCGCUAUUCUGUAAUACUGUACUGUAUACUAUAAAUAUUCUUCAAACUAGAAGAAAGGUUGACGGUAAUCGUUGAUCAGGCUUUUUCCCCGAGGGAGUUAAAGAACUGUAUUAAGCGCUUCAUAAAACACGUUUUUAAAUUCGAUCUAAGAAAAUGCAUGCUGAGAGGACAGAGGAAGUUCGGUUUGAGAAUAUUUUUAGAAGCCCUUCGACAGGUUGCUCUUUCUGCUUAAGCGAACAUGGCGCGACCAUGCCCAAGAAAAAAAAAUUAUUUUA